GCCGUGUGUCAACUUUUGGAAUCAAUCUUGACCACAAGUUCUCAUCCAACGGCUAUCAUAAAAGAUUGCUUUUAACACACUUAAGAGAGAAACCCUAUUUACUGGCCAUGAAAUGGAAAAAGACUCCACUCUCUUUGCUCUUGCUGCACCACCUUCCUCCAUUUUCUCUUUUGCUUAAAUGAAACAAGUUUUGGUAAGGAGAGUGAAGGAAAGAGGUUUGCCGACUUACAUCUCUAAGCGCAUUUUUUGACGAGUGUUUGCUGGGCUCACCAUGUUUCGACAACAAGCGGAAUUCAACCAACUAAUGGAAUCAAUAGCUCGCCUAAAUCAUCUUAUUGAUCAAAAUGUAUACGCUUUCUUAUUUAUUUUUUAUUUAUCUAUCAUAAUUAAUUAUUCUAUUUUUUUAGGAGGAAUUCAUAUUAUUUGCAGUUGAUUCCCUUGAUACAAAUAAUGUGAUUACUGAAGGCGAUUUGUCAUAUGUUCGGUCGUGGAUGGUGCGUAAAUGGGAAGAACAGAAUGUUUGGCGAUUCAGACUAGCUUUUGUAGAUCUAGCCCUCAGGAUGGGUUACGAUGUGGACUUUUUUCAAAACUUUGCAACAACUGCUUCUACACACUUAGCAAUGGAGUUGUAAAAUUCAGCUUCUAUUCCAACGUUCCAAGCCUGUUGACAAGGGUGCAUCAACUCUAUGCUAGAAUUGGCAAAGUUGGUCUGUAUAAGAGAGAGCGUCUUGUAAGUAGAGAUGACAAUAUUGAAAUUACAGAAGUUACAAAAGGCCAAGCACAUGAAUCCAAGUCUACUGUCCACCUCAAAAGUCCUGGAAGAGGUAAAAGAAUUAUUAAAUAUAAAUAUAAGCUUUUUAAUGAUGAGAUUGAACAAAUGUUGAAAAUUGAUUGGGUUGAUGAUAUUUGCGUAUUGUUAGUUGAAAAACUAUUACGGUUAAAAAGUUUUCAUAAAAUGAUUUUUUUAAAGUCUUUUAUAACAAUAUUUGAAAAUGUGCUACCAUGCAGGUGGAUGAUACGGACAACUUUUGGCAAGUUGAUUUUGCUUCGGGUGGGAGUGUGACUGUCCACAAAUCAAAAACCAAACAUUCUGGUUUGGUUUUUAAGCAAGUGCAAGUGGCAAUGGAGGAAAAAAGACAUUCUGGUUUGGUUUUGGAGCAAGUGCCAAGGAAAAGUGCAAUUUUACAUUUACUCCAUCUCUUCCUCCUCCACUGCCACUUGCACUUGCUCCAACUCCUCCUCCUCCUCUACUCCCACUUGCUCCAAAACUAAACUAGAAUGUUUGGUUUGUAAUUUGUGGAUAGUCACACUCUCAUCCAAAACAAAAUUGACUUGCCAAAAGUUGUCUCCAUCAUCCACCUGCAUCGUAGCACCUCUCCAAAUAUUGUUAUAAAAGACUUCAAGAAAGUCAUUUUAUAAAAACUUUUGAACCGCAAUAGUUUUUUAACUAACAGUAUGCAAAUAUCACCAACCCAGUCAAUUUUUAACAUUUUCCAAUCCCAUCAUUAAUGAGCUCAUCUUUAUAUUUAAUAAUACUUUUGUCUCCUCCAAGACUUUUGAGGUAGAUAGCAGGCUUGGAUUCAUGCACUUGGCUUUAUGGAACUUCUGUAAUUUCAAUAGUGUUACAUCUACUCUCUCUUAUCACGACCAACUUCGUCAAUUUUGGCAUAGAGUUGAUGCACUCUUGCCAACAAGGCUUGGAAUGCCGUAAUAGACGUUGAAUUUUGCAAAUAAUUUGAUGCCGCGUGUUUAAAUGCUUGACACUUGUUAAAGGUCUGGACUAUGCUUGCUUUCGACUUACCUCCGAGGAAUUUAUUAUCAUAAUUAUUUCUCAUGUAUUUUUUAUUUUAGUUUCAUAUUAUAUUGUUUUUAUUUAGUAAGAUAUAAAUUUCUAUGCCAUUAUUUAGCGUGGUAACU